UACGGGGGGAGCAAGCGUUGUUCGGAUUUACUGGGCGUAAAGGGCGCGUAGGCGGCCAGUGCAAGUCAGUUGUGAAAUCUCCGAGCUUAACUCGGAAAGGUCAACUGACACUGCUCGGCUAGAGUGCGGAAGGGGCAACUGGAAUUCUUGGUGUAGCGGUGAAAUGCGUAGAUAUCAAGAGGAACACCUGCGGCGAAGGCGGGUUGCUGGGCCGACACUGACGCUGAAGCGCGAAAGCUAGGGGAGCGAACGGG
rnacentral:rRNA from 1 species